rnacentral:lncRNA from 1 species
CGGGACUCCCACAGUUGGUUACUGAGAACCGCCCGGAAGGGAGAUGGCGGACAAGGCGCUGCCUCUCGGCACCCUACCUGCCGCUCCUUUGGCCCUUAUUGCUGGGCCCACAGAUCCAGUCUCCGAAGCCUAAGUGACAGAAUAAAUUUAUUCUCCCUCUUACUGACACAACCACUCCCUCUCCUGUCAACAACACUAAUGAGAUUCAUUGGGACACACAAAGACAUAAAAGAUGAAAGAAUUCGAGAGGGACAAGAGCAGGGAGUAACCAUUUCAGAACGCAGUGUUUUGGAGAUGCCAGUACCAUGAGAUGACCACCAAGAGCAGCAGCAGCAGUGGAGUACAGGCAUCUGGAGCCUAGAGGACGACGCGUGUGCUACAAAGGGCAUGGCUGGAGAAGUGACCCAAGUCCUUGGAGGAGCCCAGAAGAUGGUGAGUUGAAUCCCAGACAUUGGAGGGUUGGAGAUUGAUUUUUGCUUUUGAUUGUGACUGUGCUCUGAUAUUUUC